rnacentral:rRNA from 1 species
AUUGAACGCUGGCGGCAGGCCUAACACAUGCAAGUCGAACGAGUGGCGGACGGGUGAGUAAUGGAUGGGAAACUGCCUGACGGAGGGGGAUAACUACGGGAAACGGUAGCUAAUACCGCAUACCACCAGUUGUGGCGAGAUGUGAUUAGCUAGUUGGUGGGGUAACGGCUCACCAAGGCGACGAUCCAUAGCUGGUCUGAGAGGAUGACCAGCCACACUGGAACUGAGACACGGCCCAGACUCCUACGGGAGGCAGCAGUGGGGAAUCUUGCACAAUGGGCGAAAGCCUGAUCCAGCCAUGCCGCGUGUAUGAAGAAGGCCUUCGGGUUGUAAAGUACUUUCAGCGGGGAGGCGUUACCCGCAGAAGAAGCACCGGCUAACUCCGUGCCAGCCGCCGCGGUAAUUC